ACCCGCGGGGGUUGACGUCACCCACACAAGAAGCCCCGGCUAACUCCGUGCCAGCAGCCGCGGUAAUACGGAGGGGGCGAGCGUUAAUCGGAAUUACUGGGCGUAAAGCGCGCGUAGGCGGCUUGAUAAGCCGGAUGUGAAAGCCCCGGGCUCAACCUGGGAACGGCAUUCGGAACUGGCAGGCUUGAGUGCAGGAGAGGAAAGUGGAAUUCCCGGUGUAGCGGUGAAAUGCGUAGAGAUCGGGAGGAAUACCAGUGGCGAAGGCGGCCUUCUGGACUGACACUGACGCUGAGGUGCGAAAGCGUGGGUAGCAAACAGGAUUAGAUACCCUGGUAGUCCACGCCGUAAACGAUGUCGACUAGCCGUUGGGCGCCUCCAGUGCCUUUGGCGAAAUUAACGCGAUUAAUCGACCCCCUGGGGAGUACCGGCCCCAGGGUAAAACUC
rnacentral:rRNA from 1 species